AUGAGUUUCUUCGGCUGAUCUCAGAGGCCUUUACUUCUCUUUAAUGCAGAUAAAAUGAAGAUUAAACUGAAGAGAAGAAUGCUUAUUUAACUUUCAGAAGAUCAUUCUAUUACAAUCAGGUUUGUGAAGUCAUGGUCUUUGGUCACCUUUCUCCCAUCUGCACCAGGAAGUACUGCUAUUACCAGGAGGCAUUUUUUCCUAAUGAGUUCCUACAAGACAUAUUUAGAUUUGGGUCACUGCAAAUGGGGAGUUGUCAAAUCUAAUGGCUUCUAGAUUAAGCAACAUCAGUGCUCAUAAAUGUUUCAGCCUAAAUAUUUUUAAUCUAGUGAGAGAAUAUUUGUCUGGUAGCUGGAAGAGAAUGCACUUAGACCAUCCUUCCCCUCUACAGAUUCAUCUGGAUGAAAAACUGAACAUUUUGGAUUUCCUCCAUAACUGAAUAGACCACUGCUAAGCUCCUCAGAAGUUGUCAUUUCCAGGGGGAUAUUAGUCUGGUAGACCAGCUGCCAAAAAGCCAUGCAGGUGAGCUGGCAAAUAAUCAGUCAAAUUUCAAGAACUUAACUGAAGAUGACUUAUUCUAUGUGAAACUCCCUUAAAGUGAUGAAUAAGCAAAGUCCAGUGACCCCCAAAUCAGUCCCUUUCUUUGUCAACAGCACUUCCUAUGUACAAGUGAUUCUGUGACAAGUAGCUGUUGAUAGCACUACAUGAAAAUCAGCUCAAUGCAUGUCCUUGCCAGGUAUGUGAAAAAACAUGUUGUUCUGCUUCUUGUGGAAUAUGGAAAUAGAAAUCUCUCAGCCUCCUGGCCAAAACCAGGCUCUAACCACAGAUUUCACAAGUAGGACAGCACACUUUCAUUAUUUGGUGUGAACGUGUCAAGGAAAAAAAUGAAUGUUAAGUCUCUGAGACAGCCAGUACAUCUGGCUUUUAUCUUUCUGACUGCCUCACUCAGGAAGGAAUAUGGUUAUUUUUAAAUCUAGGGUCCGUGUGUGGAGCCAAAUAAACAGAAUUCUACAGCCGGUUCA
rnacentral:lncRNA from 1 species